rnacentral:rRNA from 1 species
UACGAAGGGGGCUAGCGUUGUUCGGAAUCACUGGGCGUAAAGCGCACGUAGGCGGAUCUUUAAGUCAGGGGUGAAAUCCCGAGGCUCAACCUCGGAACUGCCUUUGAUACUGGGGAUCUCGAGUCCGGGAGAGGUGAGUGGAACUGCGAGUGUAGAGGUGAAAUUCGUAGAUAUUCGCAAGAACACCAGUGGCGAAGGCGGCUCACUGGCCCGGAACUGACGCUGAGGUGCGAAAGCGUGGGGAGCGAACAGGG